rnacentral:rRNA from 1 species
AGAACGCGGCGGCAUGCUAACACAUGCAAGUCGAACGCUCGCACGAGGCAACUCGUGAGGGAGUGGCAGACGGGUGAGUAACGCGUGGGAACGUACCCCUCAGUUCGGAAUAACUACGGGAAACUGUAGCUAAUACCGGAUACGUCCGAAACGAGAAAGGUUUACCGCUGAGGGAGCGGCUCGCGUUAGAUUAGGUAGUUGGUAGGGUAAAGUCCUACCAAGCCUGCGAUCUAUAGCUGGUCUGAGAGGAUGAUCAGCCACACUGGGAGUGAGACACGGCCCAGACUCCUACGGGAGGCAGCAGUGGGGAAUAUUGGACAAUGGGGGAAACCCUGAUCCAGCAAUGCCGCAUGAGUGAUGAAGGCCUUCGGGUUGUAAAGCUCUUUUACCAGGGAAGAUAAUGACGGUACCUGGGGAAUAAGCUCCGGCUAACUUCGUCCCCGCAGCCGCGGUAAUACGAAGGGAGAAAGCGUUUUUGGGAAUUACUGGGCGUAAAGGGCGUGUAGGCGGUCUUGUGUCUUUGAUGUGAAAGACCUGGGCUUCACCUGAGAAGCGCAUUGAAUACGGCACGACUGGAGUGCGAGAGGGGAUUG